CCCUUAGAUGCUCUGGGCCGCACGCGCGCUACACUGGUCGAUGCAACGAGUUUCUUUCCUUGGCCGACAGGCCUGGGCAAUCUUUGAACAUCGAUCGUGAUCGGGAUAGAUUCUUGUAAUUUUUGAUCUUAAACGAGGAAUUCCUAGUAAACGCAAGUCAUCAGCUUGCAUUGAUUACGUCCCUGCCCUUUGUACACACCGCCCGUCGCACCUACCGAUUGGGUGAUCCGGUGAAUGGUUCGGACUCUGGCUAUGCUAGCUACUAGCUACGUCAGGGAAAGUUCUGUGAACCUUAUCACUUGGAGGAAGGAGAANUCGUANCA
rnacentral:rRNA from 1 species